rnacentral:rRNA from 1 species
GACGAACGCUGGCGGCGUGCUUAACACAUGCAAGUCGAACGAAGUGGCGAACGGGUGAGUAACGCGUAAUCAACCUUCCCUUCAGAGGGGGAAAACAGUUGGAAACGACUGCUAAUACCGCAUCCUGAAAGAGUGGAUUGCGUCUGAUUAGCUAGUUGGAGGGGUAACGGCCCACCAAGGCGAUGAUCAGUAGCCGGGCUGAGAGGAUGAACGGCCAAAUUGGGACUGAGACACGGCCAAGACUAAUAAGGGAGGCAGCAGUGGGGAAUCUUCCGAAAUGGACGAAAGGCUGACGGAGAAACGCCGCGUGAGUGAGGACGGGCUUCGGGUUGUAAAGCUCUUUUAAUCGGGACGCAGUACCGGAAUAGAAAGCCACGGCUAACUACGUGCCAGCAGCCGCGGUAAUAC